GGUAAGUGUAGGUACAGGUAAGUGUAGGUACAGGUAAGUGUAGGUACAGGUAAGUGUAGGUACAGGUAAGUGUAGGUACAGGUAAGUGUAGGUACAGGUAAGUGUAGGUACAGGUAAGUGUAGGUACAGGUAAGUGUAGGUACAGGUAAUGGUGUUGAUGUGAGCCAUUACCAUGCUUUCAAACCACUUCAUGGCUACGGACGUGAGCUCUACGGGUCUGUAGUCAUAUUUGCAGGUUGCCUUUGUGUUGUUGGGCACAGGGACUAUGGUGGUCUGCUUGAAGCAUGUUAGUAUUACAGAGUCAAUC
ensembl:lncRNA